rnacentral:rRNA from 1 species
GACGAACGCUGGCGGCGUGCUUAACACAUGCAAGUCGAACGGAAAGGCCCUGCUUCUGUGGGGUGCUCGAGUGGCGAACGGGUGAGUAACACGUGAGUAACCUGCCCUUGACUUUGGGAUAAUUUCAGGAAACUGGGGCUAAUACCGGAUAGGAGCUCCUGCUGCAUGGUGGGGGUUGGAAAGUUUCGGCGGUUGGGGAUGGACUCGCGGCUUAUCAGCUUGUUGGUGGGGUAGUGGCUUACCAAGGCUUUGACGGGUAGCGGGCCUGAGAGGGUGACCGGCCACAUUGGGACUGAGAUACCGCGCAGACUCCUACGGGAGGCAGCAGUGGGGAAUAUAGCCCAAUGGGAGGAAGCCUGAUGCAGCAACGCCGCGUGCGGGAUGACGGCCUUCGGGUUGUAAACCGCUUUCGCCUGGGACGAAGCGUGAGUGACGGUAAUGGGUGAAGAAGCACCGGCUAACUACGUG